rnacentral:rRNA from 1 species
GAUGAACGCUGGCGGCGUGCUUAACACAUGCAAGUCGAACGGUAAGGCCCUUCGGGGUACACGAGUGGCGAACGGGUGAGUAACACGUGGGUGAUCUGCCCUGCACUUCGGGAUAAGCCUGGGAAACUGGGUCUAAUACCGGAUAGGACUCCUGGCUUCAUGGUUGGGGGUGGAAAGCUUUUGCGGUGUGGGAUGGGCCCGCGGCCUAUCAGCUGGUGGGUGGGGUAAGGGCCUACGAAGGCGACGACGGGUAGCCGGCCUGAGAGGGUGACCGGUCACAAUGGGACUGAGAUACGGCCCAGACUCCUACGGGAGGCAGCAGUGGGGAGUAUUGCACAAUGGGCGCAAGCCUGAGGCAGCGACGCCGCGUGAGGGAUGACGGCCUUCGGGUUGUAAACCUCUUUCAGCUAUGACGAAGCGCAAGUGACGGUAGUAGCAGAAGAAGGACCGGCCAACUACGUGCCAGCCGCCGCGGUAAAAC